GAUGAACGCUAGCGGCAGGCCUAAUACAUGCAAGUCGAACGGGUGGUCGCAAGACCACUAGUGGCGCACGGGUGCGUAACGCGUAACCAACCUGCCCCGAUCUGGGGGAUAGCCCGCCGAAAGGCGGAUUAAUACCGCAUAUACCCGCAGCCUGGCAUCAGGCAACGGGGAAAGAUUUAUUGGAUCGGGAUGGGGUUGCGUGACAUUAGCUAGUUGGCGGGGUAAGGGCCCACCAAGGCGACGAUGUCUAGGGGACCUGAGAGGGUGAUCCCCCACACUGGCACUGAGAUACGGGCCAGACUCCUACGGGAGGCAGCAGUAGGGAAUAUUGGGCAAUGGGCGAGAGCCUGACCCAGCCAUGCCGCGUGCCGGAUGAAGGCCUUCUGGGUUGUAAACGGCUUUUCUCAGGGAAGAAAAAGACCUUGCGAGGUACACUGACGGUACCUGAGGAAUAAGCACCGACUAACUCCGUG
rnacentral:rRNA from 1 species